GUUGCUGAAGGCUUUUCUUUCUCGUUUGAUUCGUUUGCUCCGCAAUCGCAGGAAAUCAAUUAUAAAAAACCUUUGCUGUUCGGCUUCACUGGCCACGUUAAUUCGUGAAAAAUGUUUUUUCUUUAUUUUUUCUUUUUUUUUUUUGCCUUUUUCCAGGUCUCAGCUUAAUGUGUUUCUCGUUUUGUUUUCGCUGCCGCUGCAUUUGAAAGAGUUUUCAUUGUUUCUCGGAUUGGAGUUGAAAGUGUUGCUGCUGCUUGGGUCACAGUGGCUUUUUUCAGUUACUUUUUUUAGUUUUUUUUUUUUUUUUUUUGGGCCAUGACAAAGGAUUGCGCGGCAGCGGAAAAAGUGCAAUAAAUUUUACUAUGCUCGGUGCCGAAUGUCGAUUUCGUUCAAUGAUUUCUCCCCACGGCAGCGACAACUGCCGCCUGCCGCCUGUCGAUCGUCGACCUUUAUUUAUGUGCCUUUGAUAAUGCGUUUUUAAAUUCAGGAAGUCGCAGUUUAUGCUGCCUCCCCAUGAACUUCCCCCUUUUUUUUCUCGUUUUCCGCUCGAUUGCUGCAGGGGCGUAGCCCCUGAUUGGCUACCAAAAAGGGAAGGGGGGUUCCUAAGAACGAGGCCUAAGGUCCGAAUGGGUUGGAGGAUUUCCAACGAAUUUCCCGGAAGAAAAGCAAAGAUUCGACAUUGCAUAGCUACAUAACAUAGAUUAUAGAGGGUCUAAAGAAAGCGUUAACAAUUUGAUUGAUGACAACAAAUCCGACACAUAAAAAAUGGUUUUUUAUGCAAAUUAAUGUAUUAAUAGGUAUAUACUUAUGCGGAAUAUUUUUCAAUUCUGGUGGACACAUUUCUAAAUGGAAUCAAUAUAUUGCCGAGGGAUUCACACGUCGGGCACUUAUGGAUU